rnacentral:rRNA from 1 species
CGUGGGGAGCAAACAGGAUUAGAUACCUGGUAGUCCACGCCGUAAACGAUGAGUGCUAAGUGUUGGAGGGUUUCCCCCUUCAGUGCUGCAGCUAACGCAUUAAGCACUCCGCUGGGGAGUACGACCGCAAGGUUGAAACUCAAAGGAAUUGACGGGGGCCCGCACAAGCGGUGGAGCAUGUGGUUUAAUUCGAAGCAACGCGAAGAACCUUACCAGGUCUUGACAUCCUUUGACCACUCUAGAGAUAGAGCUUUCCCUUCGGGGACAAAGUGACAGGUGGUGCAUGGUUGUCGUCAGCUCGUGUCGUGAGAUGUUGGGUUAAGUCCCGCAACGAGCGCAACCCUUAUUGUUAGUUGCCAUCAUUCAGUUGGGCACUCUAGCGAGACUGCCGGUGACAAACCGGAGGAAGGUGGGGAUGACGUCAAAUCAUCAUGCCCCUUAUGACCUGGGCUACACACGUGCUACAAUGGGAAGUACAACGAGUCGCUAGGCCGCGAGGUCAUGCAAAUCUCUUAAAGCUUCUCUCAGUUCGGAUUGCAGGCUGCAGCUCGCCUGCAUGAAGCCGGAAUCGCUAGUAAUCGCGGAUCAGCACGCCGCGGUGAAUACGUUCCCGGGCCUUGUACACACCGCCCGUCACACCACGAAAGUUUGUAACACCCGAAGUCGGUGAGGUAACCUUUUGGAGCCAGCCGCCUAAGGUGGGAUAGAUGAUUGGGGUGAAGUCGUAACAAGGUAACCAAGGGCGAAUUCUG